UACGUAGGGCGCAAGCGUUAUCCGGAAUUAUUGGGCGUAAAGAGCUCGUAGGCGGUUUGUCGCGUCUGCCGCGAAAGUCCGGGGCUCAACUCCGGAUCUGCGGUGGGUACGGGCAGACUAGAGUGAUGUAGGGGAGACUGGAAUUCCUGGUGUAGCGGUGGAAUGCGCAGAUAUCAGGAGGAACACCGGUGGCGAAGGCGGGUCUCUGGGCAGUAACUGACGCUGAGGAGCGAAAGCGUGGGGAGCGAACAGG
rnacentral:rRNA from 1 species